GGGAGAGGUGGCUGAGUGGUUGAUAGCUCCGGUCUUGAAAACCGGUAUAGUUUUGCUACUAUCGAGGGUUCGAAUCCCUCUCUCUCCUU
rnacentral:tRNA from 1 species